UACGUAGGGUGCAAGCGUUGUCCGGAAUUAUUGGGCGUAAAGAGCUUGUAGGCGGCUUGUCGCGUCUGCUGUGAAAUUUCGGGGCUCAACCCCGAACUUGCAGUGGGUACGGGCAGACUAGAGUGUGGUAGGGGAGACUGGAAUUCCUGGUGUAGCGGUGAAAUGCGCAGAUAUCAGGAGGAACACCGAUGGCGAAGGCAGGUCUCUGGGCCACAACUGACGCUGAGAAGCGAAAGCAUGGGGAGCGAACAGG
rnacentral:rRNA from 1 species